rnacentral:lncRNA from 1 species
AUCUCGUAAAUUCAAUUUCUCCAUCUAGUGGCCUUCCCCUCACCCAGGCCCUCCCCACCUCCCUCCUGGACCACCACAGCAGCUCUAAAAGGCUUCCUAGCUCUGGCUAUUUCACAGUCCAGAGGCACCCACAUUCUGAUCCCCGACAAGGCCUCUUCAGGACGGGGACUCUAGCCACUCAAAUUCUUCCAUUGCUCCCCAGUAACUUAAGUUUAAAUCAUUUAGUCACGUGCCAUUCAAGGCCCUCUGGGUUCUGGCCUCCAAGGACCUUUGCUACCUGAUCUUCUCCUUAGUUGUUUACACACACCAUUGCCUGGCAAUUACAAAUCGAUUCCUGCCCACUCUGCACCCCGGCAUUUCCCAUCCCUACCUAUGCCUUUGCUCAUGUUUCCUUCAACGAGGAUACUCCACGACCUCAAGUCCAGCAUUACCUUUCUUUGAAUGUCUGGCUCAAAGGCUUUUUAUCCAUGAAGCAUUUCUUGAUCAUCCCAGCCAGAGAUAAACACACAACCUUUCUUUUCUAUGAACUUGUGGUAUGUUUAUCUCUCUAACUUUUAUACAUUUCUCUUUCUCUCUGCAUUUAUUCUUUGUUUUUCUUUUUUCUAAGACAUCUUGUUGUAGCAUCUCUGCAUUUAUUCUAAUUUUAUCUGUGCACAGAACCUUAGCUUCAAGCUCCUUGAAGGGUAGCAUCGUGUCCCAGCCUACACUGUCACACUCAGGAGAAGCACCCAGUAGAUGGUGGCUCUGUAUCUACCUACAGAGUGCCACUGAGGAGCACAGGCCUUCAUGUCUGUAGCCCAUCAGCUGAGCCUUCACAUCAGCUCCUAGAACAGUGCCUGGCAUACAGCAACACCCAGAAAUCAUUGUUAAAUGAAAUUAUCCACAAGGGAGUCAUCUAGUGUCUACAGGAUAGAAAUUCUUUCCCUGUAGAAUAUAACAUGAAAGGGGAUGUGAAGAAGCCUUCUCUCUCCCCAUACUUCCAGAUGCAAGAAAGCUUCAUGUUAACUGUCUCCCACAAGCUAUAUAGCUACUCUCGGCAAUAAACAUGACAUAUAAAGCUUUGGUGCAUUUGGUGUGUCAAAAAUAUUCAAUUUUAACAUGUCAGAAAGAAUCAUUUUUCAAAAACAGUCUCCUUUGGAGAAGAGAGUUAUUCAAACAAUAUCCAAAACCUUUUUGGAUCUCACAUUUUGAAGAGGUCCAACUUCCGUUGGUUAAAAAAAAAAAGUCUAUUAUAUAAUGAAAGCCUUACAACUGACUGAGAAUUAUAGAAUUUCAGAAAUAAAUCCCAGUCUGUUCAUCCUUAAAAUAAGAAGCUAUUUUUCAGGGCUUUCAUGUCCAAAAUUAUAUUACGUAAGCCGCUUCAUAAAUCAUGUACACAACAAUUCUCAUUUUUCCAUUAAAUCUCUAUUUUGAAAUUUAAUUAAUUCACUCAUCCAUUUUUUCAGAGAUAGGAUCUUGUUCUGUCACUUAGGCUAGAGUGCAGUGGUGUGAUCAUAGCUCACUGUAGCCUUCAACUCCAGGGCUCAAGGGAUCCUCCUGCCUCAGCCUCCCAAGUAGCUAGGACUAUAGAUCCAUGCCACCAUGUGUGGAUUAUUUUUUUAUUUUAUUUUUUAUUUUGUAGAGAUGGGGAUCUAUGUUGCCCAGGCUGGUCUCAAACUCCUGGCCUCAAGUGAUCCUCCCACCUCAGCCUCCUAAAGUGCUGGGAUCACAGGUAUGAGCCACCGUGCCCUGUCUUUUUAUUUUGAUCCCCUCUGGGCUCUAACAACACACGUGCACCUCUGUUAUAGGACAUCAGUCUACAGUGCUACCUCUUUUUAUAGUCAUUUAUCUCACUAACCUGUGUCUUUCUGAAAUGCCAGACCCAUGUUCAUUUUUGAAUCUACAGUACCUUCUACUGAAAUGUAGUAGCUGGCUCCGUCCAUGUUUAUAACAUGAAACAAUGACUUGAAUCAGUGGUCUGAUCACCUACCAUAUUCAUGAGACCUAACUACUGGCUCCCUCCUACCCUCAAAGGACAGAGAUUUCCCACCGCUGUGGAUAGUCAAAAGAAGAUAGAAAGUUCGUAAGUGCUUCAUUUAAUGUGUUUAUUUAGUCCCCUUGAAAUAAAUACUGAUGGGUAAAACCAAAUUAAUUUAAAUCACAUGCUAAAAAGGAUAGCCAGUCAAGUACCUAGCUGAGUAUCUAAAAUUAGUACACACACACACACAUACUCCAAAAACAAAAACAUGCAAAAAGCCAAAAAGCCCUGCCUGUUCAGCCCUGUAUACCCUUCACUGACUAGGAAGUGACCCACUUUUCAGGUAUCAUCCAAUCAUACAAACUGGGCAUCAGUGUCGUCAGAAGCCCCCACAUGUUCAUCUCAAGACUCAACAACAUAAACACGUCUAUGUUUCCAAGAAAGCUCGUUGCAAGUUGGUGACAAAUUUGAAAAAAAAAAAAAAAAAAAAAAAAAAACUCUAAAUAAAAUUACAGACAUGACUUUCACAUUUGAGCUCUCCAAAUAUAUUGUUAUGGGUUUAAGAAAUACCACACUUCUGUGUCACAAAGAGAGUUCUAAAAAGCAGUAUGUUCUGAGAAGUCCGUACCUGCUACUUGAGAACUAAACAAGGCUUGUAACAACUGAAUCUCUUUAGAAGACUGUUAACACCAUGCAUAAGUAUAUAAAAAUGGAAAAUAAACAUAACUGAAGAUUUGAGAAUUUUUCAGUUAUAAUACAGUUCUUAUGAAAGAUGGAAAAUAUUUCAUAUUCUCAUAUAUUUAUAAAAGCAGCAGAUAUUUCUAUUUACAGAGGUGGAAACUGAGGCAAGAAAAUGCAGUCAUUUUGUUGGAGGACUAUUCUACAUUUCCAAAGCAAUUAAGACAUGACCCCAAACUAACUAAAUUCUCCUGCAACGUAUUCUUACAAGAAAAAGGCUAAAAGCCUUAUUGCUUAACAAAAGCUAAACAAUGUGAAUUAUUUCAAUAACCGGUCCAAAAAGCUGCAGCAGGCCACUGAGUAACUUGGACAUCUGUUGCCAUGCUUGUUCAUGCUUUCCCCUGAGAUGACAUAUAUGCAUCAUCAUUAAUAGAUGUCCUUGAUUUUGAUAAGAAUAAUAUUUAUGUACAUCCCCACAUCUCCUGUACAUAGCCAUGUGCUGCCAUCUUCUGAUUAUGCCCAGUGGAGUGUAAACAUUUUUUCAUGAAAAAGCAAAAUCAAUAAAAGUAAAACUCCCCA